GGCCAAUUCUACCUGUUAUCACGUCCAGGGAUAGGUCCAGUUUCAACAUAAUUUGGACGCUUUUCAGUCUGUGGUUCUCCAAGAUUCCAUCCUGCACCUCGUUUCCCAAUUGUCAUCCUACAAUUGUCAUCCUUCCCUGACAUUCAUCAUCUAGGGAACACUGAUCAGACACACAAUUCAGGUUUGAUAUCAAGAGGACCUGCACGCAUAAGUAUCAGAUAAUGUGGCUGUGUGUGACAAAUGGGAGUUGGAACAGAGGACUUAACAAAAAAUUGGGAAAAAAAUGCAGCUGCUGUGCACAUAAAGAAUAUGCAGCCUGAACUAGGCCUCAGGAGAAAAG